AUUGAACGCUGGCGGCAUGCUUUACACAUGCAAGUCGAACGGCAGCGCGGGCUUCGGCCUGGCGGCGAGUGGCGAACGGGUGAGUAAUGCAUCGGAACGUGCCCAGUAGUGGGGGAUAGCCCGGCGAAAGCCGGAUUAAUACCGCAUACGACCUGAGGGUGAAAGCGGGGGACCGAAAGGCCUCGCGCUAUUGGAGCGGCCGAUGUCGGAUUAGCUAGUUGGUGGGGUAAAGGCUUACCAAGGCGACGAUCCGUAGCUGGUCUGAGAAGACGACCAGCCACACUGGGACUGAGACACGGCCCAGACUCCUGCGGGAGGCAGCAGUGGGGAAUUUUGGACAAUGGGGGCAACCCUGAUCCAGCCAUGCCGCGUGCGGGAAGAAGGCCUUCGGGUUGUAAACCGCUUUUGUUCGGGAAGAAAUCCUCUGGGCUAAUACCCCGGGGGGAUGACGGUACCGGAAGAAUAAGCACCGGCUAACUACGUG
rnacentral:rRNA from 1 species